UACAGAGGUCCCAAGCGUUGUUCGGAUUUACUGGGCGUAAAGGGUGCGUAGGUGGUCGGGUAAGUCUCAUGUGAAAUCUCCAAGCUUAACUUGGAAAUGGCAUGGGAUACUAUUCGGCUAGAGGAUUGGAGGGGGGACUGGAAUUCCCGGUGUAGCGGUGAAAUGCGUAGAGAUCCGGAAGAACACCGGUGGCGAAGGCGGCCUGCUGGGCAGUAUAGCUGACACUGAGGCGCGACAGCGUGGGGAGCAACAGG
rnacentral:rRNA from 1 species